GACGUAGGGUGCAAGCGUUGUCCGGAAUGAUUGGGCGUAAAGAGCUCGUAGGCGGCUUGUUACGUCGGGUGUGAAAUCCCGGGGCUUAACCCCGGGUAUGCAUUCGAUACGGGCUAGCUAGAGUGUGGUAGGGGAGAUCGGAAUUCCUGGUGUAGCGGUGAAAUGCGCAGAUAUCAGGAGGAACACCGGUGGCGAAGGCGGAUCUCUGGGCCAUUACUGACGCUGAGGAGCGAAAGCGUGGGGAGCGAACAGG
rnacentral:rRNA from 1 species